GAUGAACGCUGGCGGCGUGCUUAACACAUGCAAGUCGAACGGAAAGGCUCCUGCUUGCAGGGGUACUCGAGUGGCGAACGGGUGAGUAACACGUGGGUGAUCUGCCCAGCACUUCGGGAUGAGCCUGGGAAACUGGGUCUAAUACCGGAUAGGACGAUGGUUUGGAUGCCAUUGUGGAAAGUUUUUUCGGUGUGGGAUGAGCUCGCGGCCUAUCAGCUUGUUGGUGGGGUAAUGGCCUACCAAGGCGUCGACGGGUAGCCGGCCUGAGAGGGUGUACGGCCACAUUGGGACUGAGAUACGGCCCAGACUCCUACGGGAGGCAGCAGUGGGGAAUAUUGCACAAUGGGCGCAAGCCUGAUGCAGCGACGCCGCGUGGGGGAUGACGGCCUUCGGGUUGUAAACUCCUUUCGCUAGGGACGAAGCGCAAGUGACGGUACCUGGAGAAGAAGCACCGGCUAACUACGUG
rnacentral:rRNA from 1 species